rnacentral:rRNA from 1 species
AACGAACGCUGGCGGCAGGCCUAACACAUGCAAGUCGAACGCUCCGCAAGGGGAGUGGCGCACGGGUGAGUAACACGUGGGAACCUACCUUCUGGUACGGAACAACCAAGGGAAACUUUGGCUAAGACCGUAUACGACCUCCGGGUGAAAGAUUGAUCGCCGGAAGAGGGGCCCGCGUCCGAUUAGGUAGUUGGUGAGGUAACGGCUCACCAAGCCUUCGAUCGGUAGCUGGUCUGAGAGGAUGACCAGCCACACUGGGACUGAGACACGGCCCCAGACUCCUACGGGAGGCAGCAGUGGGGAAUAUUGGACAAUGGGCGCAAGCCUGAUCCAGCCAUGCCGCGUGAGUGAUGAAGGCCUUCGGUU